rnacentral:rRNA from 1 species
AUUGAACGCUGGCGGCAUGCUUUACACAUGCAAGUCGAACGGGGUGAGGGGGCAACUCCUCACUUAGUGGCGAACGGGUGAGUAAUGCAUCGGAACGUGUCCCGUAGUGGGGGAUAACGCCGCGAAAGCGGCGCUAAUACCGCAUACGCUCUACGGAGGAAAGCAGGGGAUCGCAAGACCUUGUGCUAGGGGAGCGGCCG